ensembl:miRNA
UAGGCUGGUACAAAAGUAACUGUGGUUUUUGCCAUGACUUUCAGUAGCAAAAACUGCAGUUACUUUUGCACCAA